rnacentral:rRNA from 1 species
UAAGGAAUAUUGGUUAAUGUGCGAAAGCGCGAACCAGCAACGCCGCGUGUGCGAUGAAGGCCUUCGGGUUGUAAAGCACUUUUUGAAGGGAUGAGGAAGGACAGUACCUUCAGAAUAAGUCUCGGCUAACUACGUGCCAGCAGCCGCGGUAAGACGUAGGAGACGAGUGUUAUUCGGAUUUACUGGGCGUAAAGCGCGUGCAGGCGGUUUGGUAAGUUGGAUGUGAAAGCUCCUGGCUUAACUGGGAGAGGUCGUUCAAUACUACCAGACUCGAGGAUAGGAGAGGGAGGUGGAAUUCCGAGUGUAGUGGUGAAAUGCGUAGAUAUUCGGAGGAACACCAGUGGCGAAAGCGGCCUCCUGGCCUAUUUCUGACGCUCAGACGCGAAAGCUAGGGUAGCA